rnacentral:lncRNA from 1 species
CAACGGGCCGUGGUCAUCACUGCAUGGGGGUGGCCUCGGACUGUCCUGAUCCUUGUCUUGGCCCCUUUCACAGUUGGAGAACCAGUCCCAGCCUUGUGACACUGGGCCCAAUCAGCGUUUAGCCCACCAGGGUCCACCCAGCACCUGCGCUCCCAGCUGUCACAAUGCAAACAACGCUAUCAAGAUCUCCAGGAGAAGCUGCUGCUAUCAGAAGCCACUGUCUUUGCUCAGGCGAACGAGCUGGAGAAAUACAGAGUUAUACUUAGUAGGUGAACCCUUGCUGAAGCAGGACAGUAAACAGGUCCAGGUGGACCUCCAGGACCUGGGCUAUGAGACUUGUGGCCAAAGCAAGAAUGAGGCUGAACAGGAGGAAACCACCAGUCCCGGACUACAACCAUAGGGCCACCCACCACAUUGAAAACCAGAAGAGCAUUUUGCUGCCGCCGAGCGUGGACGCAGGCGGAUCUCCGAAGAGCUGGGUCGCCAGCCUCUCCCGCGCACGUUGCCUGGCCUCCAGCACCUACUUGGUCCCGCGCGCUCCCUCGUGUCGCCCCUCGGAGCAGCAGCCGCCGCGGUCGCCGCUACCCGGAAAGAAGUCAGAGACGCCGCGAGGUCGCCGCCACCGCCAUGCCCAAGAAUAAAGGUAAAGGAGGUAAAAAUAGACGCAGGGGUAAGAAUGAGAAUGAAUCUGAAAAAAGAGAACUGGUAUUCAAAGAGGAUGGUCAGGAGUAUGCUCAGGUAAUCAAAAUGUUGGGAAAUGGACGGCUAGAAGCAAUGUGUUUCGAUGGUGUAAAGAGGUUAUGUCACAUCAGAGGAAAAUUGAGAAAAAAGGUUUGGAUAAAUACCUCGGACAUUAUUUUGGUUGGUCUCCGAGACUACCAGGAUAACAAAGCUGAUGUAAUUUUAAAAUACAAUGCAGACGAAGCUAGAAGUCUGCAGGCAUACGGCGAGCUUCCAGAGCAUGCUAAAAUCAAUGAAACUGAUACAUUUGGUCCUGGAGAUGAUGAUGAAAUUCAGUUUGAUGACAUUGGAGAUGAUGAUGAAGAUAUUGAUGACAUCUAAAUUGAACUCAACAUUUUACAUUCCAUCUUUUCUGAAGAUUGUCCUACAAUUUGGAUUUUGAUCAUGACAAAGAAGAUUAAAAUUUCAUUAGCAUGAAUGCAAUUUGUUAAAGCAGACUGAUUUGUUUCUAAGAUAUUUUUGGUUUUUUUAAAACUGAUAAUAAUGCUGAAUUAUCUUAAGUGAGAUGUUAAGCCCACUUUGUUCUUUUAAUGUAAUGGAGCUUAUGGGUAGAAGACCAUGUCUACUAAUUACAAAAAAAAAAAAAAAAAAAACCAUGCAUUGCUGCUUUUCCUACCACUUCCAGUAAGAAAAUGGGUGUUUUGAAGAAAUCAUUUGCCUUGUCCUCACGGAAUCUGAUUAAGCCCUGGCCUCUUGAUUGUAUAGAGUCAUUGUGUAUAUUCCAGUUACCUAGAUAUUCCCUUGAGAUUUUGAUACAAUUUGAGGGAGGCAGAAGUCUGCAUUUGAAGAAAAAAAAUAAGUCUGUUUGUCAUAUUUAAGUAGCCUGUGGCUAUUUUUAUACUGAUUUUGAUAUCAUGUUCUUUUCAUAGUCGUAUUUUGCCACCGUAAACAUAAAAAAAAAAAAAAAAGAUUUCCAAAAUGCCGUUUUCAGAACCUGGGUUUUAAUAGCAGUAUUGAAUUUGUAAGCUUAGUAGUUGCAGAAAUUGAACACUAGGUGGCACUCAGUUAUCUUAACAGGGGAAGUACUGAUAUAAUUGUUGACUUUUCUUUUACUAUGUGUAAGAAAUACCCCAAACAUGAAAAGAUUGUUUUGAUCAUAUGCAUGUAUGUAGAAUAUUUUUGCAGAGCAGAAAGAUUAUGUUAGAAGUGUGAUUUUUAUUUUCAGAAGUCAUAUACAUGUAAGCU